GAUGAACGCUGGCGGCAUGCCUAACACAUGCAAGUCGAUCGGUAAGGCUCUUCGGAGUACACGAGAGGCGGACGGCUGAGUAACGCGUAGGAACACACCCUGCAGUGAGGGAUAAGACACCGAAAGGUGUUCUAAUACCGCAUACGGUCUUCGGAUUAAAGCAUUUAUGCGCUGAAGGAGUGGCCUGCGUCAUAUUAGAUAGUUGGUGAGGUAAUGGCUCACCAAGUCGAUGAUGUGUAGCUGGUCUGAGAGGAUGAUCAGCCAGACUGGAACUGAGACACGGUCCAGACUCCUACGGGAGGCAGCAGUGAGGAAUAUUUCACAAUGAGCGAAAGCUUGAUGGAGCAAUGCCGAGUGAAGGAUGAAGGCCCUCGGGUUGUAAACUGCUUUUAUAAGAGAAGAUUAUGACGGUAACUUAUGAAGAAGGGACGGAUAACUACGU
rnacentral:rRNA from 1 species